rnacentral:rRNA from 1 species
UACAGAGGGUGCGAGCGUUAAUCGGAAUUACUGGGCGUAAAGCGUGCGUAGACGGUUAUUUAAGUCGGGUGUGAAAGCCCCCGGGGCUCAACCUGGGGAAUUGCAUUCGAGACUGAAUAGCUAGGGUACGGUAGAGGGAAGUGGAAUUUCCGGUGUAGCGGUGAAAAUGCGUAGAUAUCGGAAGGAACAUCAGUGGCGAAAAGCGGCU